UACGAAGGGGGCUAGCGUUGCUCGGAAUCACUGGGCGUAAAGGGUGCGUAGGCGGGUCUUAAGUCAGAGGUGAAAUCCUGGAGCUCAACUCCAGAACUGCCUUUGAUACUGGCGAUCUUGAGUCCGGGAGAGGUGAGUGGAACUGCGAGUGUAGAGGUGAAAUUCGUAGAUAUUCGCAAGAACACCAGUGGCGAAGGCGGCUCACUGGCCCGGUACUAACGCUGAGGUGCGAAAGCGUGGGGAGCAAACAGG
rnacentral:rRNA from 1 species